rnacentral:rRNA from 1 species
UACGUAGGGUGCAAGCGUUGUCCGGAAUUAUUGGGCGUAAAGAGCUCGUAGGCGGUUUGUCGCGUCGAAUGUGAAAACCCGGGGCUAACCCCGGGCCUGCAUUCGAUACGGGCAGACUAGAGUUCGGUAGGGGAGUCUGGAAUUCCUGGUGUAGCGGUGAAAUGCGCAGAUAUCAGGAGGAACACCGGUGGCGAAGGCGGGACUCUGGGCCGAUACUGACGCUGAGGAGCGAAAGCGUGGGGAGCGAACAGG